rnacentral:rRNA from 1 species
UGCGUAACAGCUCACUGGUCGAGUGGACAUGCGCCGACAAUACACGGGGCUAAGCUGGACACCGAAGCGGCGGGAUUUUGAUUUUCAGAAUCGGUAGGGGAGCUUCCCAUGGGCGGGGAAGCCGGAGGGCGACCGACGGUGGAGCGCAUGGGAGUGAGAAUGCUGGCAUGAGUAGCGAGAGACGAGAGAGUAACUCGUCCGCCGUGAACCCGAGGUUUCCUGGGCAAGGCUAAUCCUCCCAGGGUCAGUCGGGGGCUAAGGCGAGGCCGGGAGGCGUAGCCGACGCGCAGCAGGCAGACAUUCCUGCACCGCGCACGCGGCGCUACGACCGACGGGGCGACGGAUGGGGGUGGCUCGGCGGGGUUCUGGACGUCCCCGUGAUGGAGCGCGGCCCGCGGACCAGGGAAAUCCGGUCCGCUGAAGGGCGAGGCUCCGGACGAAGCGAUUGAGCGAAGCGAGUGAGCCCGAGGUCCCUAGAAAAACCCCUAGGCAGGCGCGUGCGCGCCCGUACCGCAAACCGACACAGGUGGGUGGGUAGAACAUACCGAGGCGAUCGGGUCAACCAUGGUCAAGGAACUCGGCACAAUGGCCCCGUAACUUCGGGAGAAGGGGUGCCCGCGCGUACGUGAACGGACUUGCUCCGGGAGCGGAGGCGGGCCGCAGUGGAGAGGCCCAAGCGACUGUUUACCAAAAACACAGGACUCUGCAGAAGCCGCAAGGCGACGUAUAGGGUCUGACGCCUGCCCGGUGCCGGAAGGUCACGCGGAGGGGUUAGCCGUAUCGGCGAAGCCCCGAAGCCAAGCCCCGGUAAACGGCGGCCGUAACUAUAACGGUCCUAAGGUAGCGAAAUUCCUUGUCGGGUAAGUUCCGACCUGCACGAAAGGCGCAACGACUUGGGCGCUGUCUCGACCAUGGACCCGGUGAAAUUGCACUGGUCGUGAAGAUGCGACUUACCCGCGGAAGGACGGAAAGACCCCGUGAACCUUCACUGCAGCUUGGCAUUGGCCGCUGGUCCCGCGUGUAGAGGAUAGGCAGGAGGCACAGAUCCGGAGGCGCCAGCCCCCGGGGAGCCGCCCUUGGAAUACUGCCCUCGCGCGACCGGCGUCCUAACCCGAGGCCGUCGACCGGCUCGGGGACCGUGCCAGGCGGGCAGUUUGACUGGGGCGGUCGCCUCCUAAAGGGUAACGGAGGCGCGCGAAGGUCCGCUCGGGACGGUCGGCAACCGUCCUUUUGAAUGCAAGAGUACAAGCGGGCUUGACUGCGAGGCCAACAAGCCGAGCAGGUGCGAAAGCAGGCUCUAGUGAUCCGGCGGCCCCGAGUGGGUGGGCCGUCGCUCAACGGAUAAAAGGUACUCCGGGGAUAACAGGCUGAUCUUGCCCAAGAGUCCACAUCGACGGCAAGGUUUGGCACCUCGAUGUCGGCUCAUCGCAUCCUGGGGCUGGAGCAGGUCCCAAGGGUUGGGCUGUUCGCCCAUUAAAGCGGUACGCGAGCUGGGUUCAGAACGUCGUGAGACAGUUCGGUCCCUAUCCUCCGUGGGCGCAGGAGAAUCGAUGGAGGCUGCCCCCAGUACGAGAGGACCGGGGUGGACGCACCUCCGGUGAACCGGUUGUCGACCAACGGCACGGCCGGGUAGCCGCGUGCGGCGCGGAUAACCGCUGAAGGCAUCUAAGCGGGAAGCCGUUCCAGGGAUUAGUUCUCCUUCCGGUAAGGGCCCAGGUAGACUACCUGGUCGAUAGACGGCAGGUGCAAGGCUGGCGACAGCCUCAGCCGAGCCGCACUAAUCGCCCGAGCUCUUCCGGAA